AGUAACACGUGGGUAACCUGCCCCGGAAGUGGGGAAUACCUCGGGGAAACUCGAGCUAAUGCCGCAUAAAAUCUCCGGGACGAAAGUCCUGAUGAUCAAAGCGGGGUCGCAAGAUCUCGCGCUACCGGAUGGGCCCGCGCCCGAUUAGCUAGUUGGUGAGGUAAUGGCUCACCAAGGCAACGAUCGGUAGCCGGCCUGAGAGGGUGAUCGGCCACACCGGAACUGAGACACGGUCCGG
rnacentral:rRNA from 1 species